GACGUAGGUGGCGAGCGUUGUUCGGAAUCACUGGGCAUAAAGCGCGCGUAGGCGGCUAGGUCAGUCAGGUGUGAAAUCCCUCGGCUUAACCGAGGAACUGCCCUCCAAACUGCUUGGCUUGAGUCCGGGAGAGGUGAGUGGAAUUCCCAGUGUAGCGGUGAAAUGCGUAGAUAUUGGGAGGAACACCAGUGGCGAAGGCGGCUCACUGGACCGGAACUGACGCCGAGGCGCGAAAGCGUGGGGAGCAAACAGG
rnacentral:rRNA from 1 species